rnacentral:rRNA from 1 species
GACGAACGCUGGCGGCGUGCUUAACACAUGCAAGUCGAACGGAAAGGCCCGGCUUUUGUGGGGUGCUCGAGUGGCGAACGGGUGAGUAACACGUGAGUAACCUGCCCUUGACUUUGGGAUAACUUCAGGAAACUGGGGCUCAUACCGGAUAGGAUCUCCUGCUGCAUGGUGGGGGUUGGAAAGUUUCGGCGGUUGGGGAUGGACUCGCGGCUUAUCAGCUUGUUGGUGGGGUAGUGGCUUUCCAGGGCUUUGAAGGGUAGGCGGCCUGGGAGGGUGACCGGCCACAUUGGGACUGAGAUACGGCCCAGACUCCUACCGGAGGCAGCAGUGGGGAAUAUUGCACAAUGGGCGGGAGCGUGAUGCAGCAACGCCGCGUGCGGGAUGACGGCCUUCGAGUUGUAAACCGCUUUCGAAGGUGACGAGGCGUGAGUGACGGUAAUGGGUAAAGAAGCACCGGCUAACUACGUG